UACGUAGGGUGCAAGCGUUAUCCGGAAUUACUGGGUGUAAAGGGCGAGUAGACGGUUAUCUAGUCAGUUGUGAAAACUAAAAGCUCAACUUUAAGCGUGCAACUGAAACUAGACUACUAGAGUGCAGGAGAGGAAAAUGGAAUUCCUAGUGUAGCGGUGAGAUGCGUAGAUAUUAGGAGGAACACCAGUGGCGAAGGCGAUUUUCUGGACUGUAACUGACGUUGAGGAGCGAAAGUGUGGGGAGCAAACA
rnacentral:rRNA from 1 species